rnacentral:lncRNA from 12 species
UAUGGGUACAAGUGAAAGCAGCCACGAGAGGAAGGAGGCUAACAGCCUGAAUUUGGGCCACACUCUGUGAAAUGUGAUCGAAUGCACACGGUGCCUAGAGCAAACGCAGGAGGUCAAGUUCACACGUGGGCCAAAGGUCCAGUCUCUGCGGAGGAGCCAAGACGCAGCAGUGCUCCGGCGCUGCACCUGCCCAGCACACCCAGGGACCGACCACAUGCACACGUUUUGCUGAGCGCCCUGGGACACCUGCUUUGA